AUGGAUGGGCCUGAUGUUUCUCGACUCUGUGAGAUGCUUGACACCAUCUGGGCAGAGCUGCCGGGGCAAGAAGUGGUAUAUCCAUGGGUUGAGUGGAUACGUAGUUCUUCUUUGCCGCACCUCGGGUUUGAUCGCACAAUAACAUUAGGUCCAGAUGUUCCUACGCACAAAGGAGAUAACCGUGCGAUCUCGAGAAGUCUCUCGUUGGAGUCUGUAAUCCCUUCCAUGCUCAGUUACAGUAGUACGAAGUGCUAUCAAGUUUUUCUUGAGGAUCUCCAUAUGUGCAUGAUUUGCCUUAACCAGACUAAUGGUUCAAAUUUCAUCAGACUUCCGUGCGAGCACUUCUUUUGUGUCAAGUGCAUGGAGACAUUAUGCAAGAUGCAUGUGAAGGAAGGUACUCUGUUUCAGUUGAUAUGCCCUGAUACCAAGUGCACUGCUUCUAUCCACCGUAUUUGUUAA
rnacentral:rRNA from 1 species